GAUGAACGCUGGCGGCGUGCCUAAUACAUGCAAGUCGAGCGAACAGACGAGGAGCUUGCUCCUCUGACGUUAGCGGCGGACGGGUGAGUAACACGUGGAUAACCUACCUAUAAGACUGGGAUAACUUCGGGAAACCGUAGCUAAUACCGGAUAAUAUAUUGAACCGCAUGGUUCAAUAGUGAAAGACGGUUUUGCUGUCACUUAUAGAUGGAUCCGCGCUGCAUUAGCUAGUUGGUAAGGUAACGGCUUACCAAGGCAACGAUGCAUAGCCGACCUGAGAGGAUGAUCGGCCACACUGGAACUGAGACACGGUCCAGACUCCUACGGGAGGCAGCAGUAGGGAAUCUUCCGCAAUGGGCGAAAGCUUGACGGAGCAACGCCGCGUGAGUGAUGAAGGUCUUCGGAUCGUAAAACUCUGUUAUUAGGGAAGAACAAAUGUGUAAGUAACUAUGCACAUCUUGACGGUACCUAAUCAGAAAGCCACGGCUAACUACGUG
rnacentral:rRNA from 1 species